UUUUAAACUCCUCAAGCAUUUUAUCAUAUAUUCAUUCAACUUUUUAAAACGGGAACAAGUGCAGAUUGUUGUGACGCCGGAUAACGUCAGGAUGACGAAUUAUACAUCAAGUAAAUGUGUACAUAUCAGGGAACGAAGGGGAGACCGGGUUCUAGUUGCGGCGGUGCAUGAACCCAUUCAAUAUUUUACUAUGUACGUCGACGAGAGUGGAGUACUAAUUACUUUGAGCAGAGAGAGGGAAAGAGAGCACGUACACAUUGCGCGGGAGGAAAUGUAUUUCCCUAACAUUGCUUGCCAGGAAACGUUUCUAUAUAUAUGGUCGACGCAGUUUGAAAUGAUUUCUUUUUCUUUUAACACACUACCUUUUGCGAAAUAUAAGGAAAACUUCGAGCGAAUGAGAGAGAGAGAGAGAGAGAGACGGCUCAUAGUUGAAAAUGAGAAUGAAGGACAGCAAAAAAAAAAAAAGAAAAAAAGGUACCUCGACAUGAGGCGAGAAAACCCAGGGUAAAAAAAAAUGGUUAAAGGACUCGCACAUGCAGAGAAACGAAUAGUUGAUUUCUGGUUUUAAUCAGUCAACGACGAGUUGCUCGAGGGCCUCCGACGUCGUCGU